GGAUCUGUGGGCAAAAGCGCGGGGGGGGGGGGGGUUCUGAUUCGCUGCUGGGACGCCCCGCCUCUGCUCACGGGUGGGUCCACAUUCCUUCCUGCACCCACCCUGCCCCGCCACCCCAACCCGGACUACUCCAGCAGCUGUGGUUGGUCAGCUCGCAAGCCUCUAGUCUUGUCCGAACUCGUCAUUGGCAACUUUCUAGCGGCCUGUGUUGAUCGGCUGCCAGAGCACCCUUCUCUCCCCGCGGCCGAGCCCCACAGAGGCGCAGCUAAGCAAAGGCGGCUUGGGGUGUCCACACAGGCUCGCAGGCCCACUUCCCCUGGUGCCCUCGGGAAAGGAGGUGAAUGAGGGACUCACCGGCGCCUCCCUCCGUCUGCAGCCCCUCCAUCCGCUCUUGCAGCUGCUGGAUGUGCGCCUCCAGGUCUCGGUUCCUGGCCUCCGCCUCACGGAGUUGACUGAGGGGAGGUAAGGACCGUGAACCCUUCGGGAUCUCGGAGAGAGGCCGCCAAAGGUAGUGCCAGGCCCUGCGCCCCGGCCCCCUACCUGGCGAAGUUCUGGUUGGCCGUGCGGAUGGCCUCCAGCUCCCGGCUCAGGCUCUGCCGGGUGAGCAUCUCCUCCUCCAGGGCCUCCUGGAGCUCCUGCAAGGUCACCUCCGCCUCUGCCACAGCCGCUGGGAUGGCUGCUGGAACUGCCACUUCAGCCUGCGUGGAGCGGACUGGGCUUAGGGCUGCCCGUAGCUCCUGGAGCACCCGAGACCUAGGCAUAGGUUCCAGGCCUGGGCUCCUUGCUUGUCCUGUACUUCACUGUCCCCAGAGCUUUCUGGAGACCUCACAGCUCCUGCAAUGGUCCAAGCACCCUCCUUCCCUAACCCAGCGCCCACCCUGGUCUCCAGCCUUCAGCAGGUUCCAUUUCCACUCAUCUCCUUAGGGGAACUAAAAUGCUAACACAACUUGCCCACGUCUCUCCCUUGCUCAGAAUUUCUCCAGCUCCUCAGUGCCCUCUGAGAAGUCCUGCUACACCAAUAGGCCCUGUUUCAUUCAUUUUGGCUGGCCUCUGUGGCCUCCUCUCUCCUCACUCUUCGCCCCCCCUUCUCCUGGAACAGUUCAGCCUCAGUACCCUCCUUUUACAGGUCAAGAACAAACCAGCUGGGUCCCUGGUGGGUAGCUCAGUUGGUUAGAGCAGCAUCCCAACAUGCCAAGGUGGUGGGUUCGAUCCCCAGUUGGGGCACAUAUAAGAACCAACCAAAGAAUGCAUAAAUAAGUGGAACAACAAACUGAUGUUUCUCUCUCUCCUUUUCUCUCAUUAAAAUCAAUGAAUAAAACUUAAAAGAAAAACAACAGCCCGGCUUGUUCUCAGCUCAGGACCUUUGCCCUGGAGGUUUCCCCUGCUAAGCAGUGGGUACUGUCCCUCCUGUGGAUGGUCCUUCUUCUGCAGGGCGUCCCCUCCCCAGAGAGCCCCCUGCAGACACACUCAGUGCCCUCUGAUCAUUUCUGACUGAAGGAACGUCUCUGUGAGUAGCUCCCAGAGGGCUCAGCGUGCCAUGGCACGUACCUACCCCGGGGCCUUUGCCUUUUCUCUGACUGACCCUCUGCUCCAAGCACUCACCGCUUCCUCUGAUGGGGGCACCAUGGGCUCCAGGCUGGGCCCUUGCACAGGUGGCUCAGGUAACGGCUCGGCCUCCAGUUCCAUGAGCGUGGGGCCCUGGACC